UCCAUGUUUGUUUCAUCAGUCUCUCUCUCCCUCUCUUGAACACCGCAAAGACAUUCCUAAAACGACGUCGCAAAACCACCAUGUUGGCUUCGGUGUCGAGCUGCUUAACACCAACUGUUCUCUUCUGCAUCUUGAACCUCACCAUAGUUACCAUUUUCAUAUCUUCAACCCUAAAAAAGCAACAGAAACUCAGUGAUGACCAGGACAACUCGUCGCCGCAACUCACCCGAGUUCCAUCACUUUUAGAACGAGUCAAGUCCAUCAACCUCUCUAUAUACCGCUCCGAACAGCCCGACCCGUCUGACUCCACUGCCCCACCUCAAGAACCUACACACCAGCAAAAGUCUGAAUGUGUGGAAGAGAGUCAUGUGACUAGGAACAAGUCCGACACGUGCAGGCAAGCUCCGACGAAAAGGGUGUUGAAGAAAUCGGCUAGUGAGAAGGUGUAUGUGGCUGAGCCGGAGGAAGAGGCGGAUCUACGGCGACCGGCGACAGUAAAGGAAACGACGUCGUCUAAUUGGCCGGAGGAUGAGGCUGUGGAUGCGAAAGCUGAUGAUUUCAUUAACAGGUUUAGGCAGCAGUUGAAAUUGCAGAGAUUGGACUCCAUCUUAAGGUACAAGGAAAUGCUCAGUAGAGGUUUGAGGAAUUGAAGCAUAUUAUUUUGGGACAGAUCUACCCUUCCUUACCAGUAUUUCUUUAAGCAAAGUGUAUGGGUUGUUUAGUCUUUCAAUAAUAAAUGAAUUCUUCUUUUGUGGGUGUUUUCUAAUUUUGUUAUGACUAGUAUAUUGUUACAAUAAUUUUUAUUUAUUACACCACAUUUUAAUAGUAGUUAAUUUCCAUAAUCUGAGUAUGUUGUAAUAAUUAUUUUUUUAAUUUUUUCGUUGAAUUCUUAUUUUUAAAUUUUGAUUAAUUAGCGCAUCUCGCCCUUGAUGAUAAUUUAUAUCAAAAUAUUUUGUUUCUAUGCUUGGAAAUGAGUAGGGCUGGACAAAAUUCUCGAAUCGAAUCGAACCUGACGGUUCUUCUCAAGUUAAAUAUCUGAACGUGUAUUUGAAUAAAGAACCGACAGGUAUGAUUCGAUUCUUGAUUCUAGGUCAAGACCCGAAAAAUCGAAUAAGAACUGAAUUUUCGUAAUUUUUUAAUUAAUUUAUUUUAAAUAAGUACGAUUAUUUUAUUUUUUCUAAAUAAAUUUGUUAACUAGUUAAUUUAGUUCAAACCAUAAAAUAUGAUUUUUCUAUUUUUAAUUUUCAGUUUAAAGUAAACUUAAUCAAAUUGACCUUAAUUUUAUUUAAAUUUGUUAUUCUAUUGUAGUGUCGUUUCUAUCGGAGAAAUCAAAUUAAAACUCUAUAAUAUCUCUCUUAAUUAUUUUGAGCUCGCUAUCUUUCUCUUUCUAAGAUUUUAAUAAUCAAAUUUAUGAAAAAUUUAGCAAAGAGAGACGUGAAACACAUAAGAUUGAAUUGAAUUAUGUUAUUUUGUAAGAACUAAUAUUGAACAUAUUAUUAAUUAAAUUAACGUAAUUUUGUAUAUAUUAAAAAAUUUAAUUAUAAUACGAAAUCGAAUGAAACUGAAAUCAGACCAAACCGAACCGAAUCGAAUGGAAUCGAACUCGAACUUUUCCGUAAUUAAAUUUAGACCCGACGGUUUCACUUACUAAACACUCGAAAAUUUCGGGUCGAUUCGAUUCUCGUUAAAACCGAAUCGGACCAUAUCCAGCCCUAAAAAUGAGAGAAAAUUUAUUAUUAUUAUUUUCUCUCUUUCUUUAUUAUUUUAAAAUAUGAUUAAAAAAUAAAUCGUUAUAAGCAAAUUCAGCAGGCUUUUUGGACAAACUGCUUUUUGGGUAAAAUGUUAUCAAAUAUUAAACGCGUUAACUAAUAGAAAAUUUGGGGAUAAGAAUGUCGUGAAAAAUCGUUAGAGAUACAAAUACUAUAAUAAGUAAAGAUUAAAAACUUUAAGUGUAAAUAAAAAUUAUGGUGUAAAUAUAAUUAGAUUUUGUUAUUUGACCGAUUUUAUUGAUGGAUAAUCGGGCAGAUGGAAAAAUGAGAAGUGAGAUAAAAAUGUUUGAAACAAUUCUUGUUAUCUCGUCAAAAUAAGUGAAAUGCUUAAGUUGAGUUCGCACUUCUCUUAAUGAGUCUGUCCAUUCUCCUUUGUCCAAUCACUAAAGACUGCCACAAUCGUGAUCGUUGGUCCCGCAUUUCCGUUUAGCUUAAAGGAGGAGCCAAUUUUAAAAAUAAAUAAAAAAAAUUAUUUUAAAUUUUAUUUAAUUAUAAGUAAAAUUUAAAGCUUAACCAAAAUUACAAGAAGAUGGCAUCAAGUGGUGAAAUUGAUUCGUGGAGAUAAAUUAUAAUUGCUUUGAGCUCUGGACAGUCGGUUGUUCGUGUUGGAUGAUGCUAGAUUGGCCACGUGGCUCUCUCCGUCCAUGCGAAACACAUUGCCCUGUUCAUUUAGAAUAAUUCGUUCGUGUUCCAUGCUUUUUAAUGUUAUCUAUUUGACAUAUUAAUAGGAAUUUGAGGAAAUUGGUGAUGCUAAAAUACACUUCAACAAUCUCAUAAAUAUACAUUUGGUUUUCUUUUUCGUCUAUCUCAAAUUAUAAGUUUUUUUUUUUUUUUUUUUUAUCGAGAGAAUAUUGUUGAGCUAUUAGUUUUCUAACACGUCUCUAUUUAAUGUAUGUUGUUAUUAACAAAGAUGUAUUAUUCCUAUUUAUACUAUUAUUUAAUGUACGGAUAUAGCAAAAAAAUGAUAAAAAAUUUAAUUCUAUAUUUUCUUAAUGCAUGUGAAGAUUGAAACAAGUCCAUCUUUAUGGGACGACGAGGUAAUAAAUAGUUUACAAAUCAUGGUGUAUACUCUCGUUUGACCCCUUUUAAAACUCUUCAAUUUAAUUUAAUUUUUUUCUCUCCAAUUUUUAACAAUACAAUUUUUAAUAAAAUAAUAUUACAUUCAAAUCAAAAAAUUUUCAACCACAAAAUCUAAAAAAAAAAUGCUAUUCCUCUAUUAUAAAUUCAAAUAAUGGGGGUCAGCCUCUCGAAUAUAGUUCAGUGGUGUAAAUGACAGAAGUGAGAUUAUUUGACGCUUGGCUGGUAGUCGCAGUGUGUGUGUUCGAUUCCUGAAACAUGAAAUUGGACUUCUUAUAGGUGCAGUGUACAUGUAGCUCUUGUUUUUUGAACCGUUGAAGUACAUCUCACAAUUUACCUCCAUUACAAAGCUUUAAAAAAGGCAUGUGGAGGCUCUCCGAGCUGGAGUUCAACCUUUAAAUAAUGGGACCAAACGAGAGUUAUAUGUAUCAGAGUUAACACUGAAAGCUUCUCAAUGUUUCAUCAGUCUCUCCCUCCCUCUCUUGAACACCGCAAAGACAUUCCUUAAACGACGUCACAAAACCACCAUGUGGGCUUCGGUGUCGAGCUGCUUAACACCAACUGUUCUCUUCUGCAUCUUGAACCUCACCAUAGUUACCAUUGUCAUAACUUCAACCCGAAAAAAGCACUAUAAACUCAGUGAUGACCAGGACAACUCGCCGCCGCAACUCACCCGAGUUCCAUCACUUUUAGAACGAGUCAAGUCCAUCAACCUCUCUAAAUACCGCUCCGAACAGCCCGACCCGUUUGACUCCGCUGCCCCACCUUAAGAACCUACACACCAGCAAAACUCUGAAUGUGUGGAAGAGAGUCAUGUGACUAGGAGCAGGUCCGACACGUGCAGGCAAGCUCCGACGAAAAGGGUGUUGAAGAAGUCGGCUAGUGAGAAGGUGUAUCUGGCUGAGCCGGAGGAAGAGGCGGAUCUACGGCGACCGGCGACAGUAAAGGAAACUACGUCGUCUAGUUGGGCGGAGGAUGAGGCUGUGGAUGCGAAAGCUGAUGAUUUCAUUAACAGGUUUAGGCAGCAGUUGAAAUUACAGAGAUUGGACUCCAUUUUAAAGUACAAGGAAAUGCUCAGUAGAGGUGUGAGGAAUUGAAGCAUAUUAUUUUGGGACAGAUCUACCCUUCCUUACCAGUAUUUCUUUAAGCAAAGUGUAUGGGUUGUUUAGUCUUUCAAUAAUAAAUGAAUUCUACUUUUGUGGGUGUUUUCUAAUUUUGUUAUGACUAGUAGAUCUCUACAAUAAUUUUUAUUUAUUACACAUUUUAAUAUUAGUUAAUCUCCAUAA
rnacentral:lncRNA from 1 species